GGUUUGACAUCUUCAGGGUAUUUAUUAGCUAUUGGGGAAGACGACCAAAUGUGUGAGCUUCAUCCUGAUGGGAAUAGCUUUGACUUCUUCAAAGGACUGGUCAGAAGGAAACUUGAAUGAAGAUUCGUCAGCAGCUUCAACUGGAGGCAACAUGAACUGUCAUGUUGGAACAUGUGUAGAGAUUCUUUUUUUCAAGGCCGAUGAUGUCUGAGAAUAUAUAAAAUAUCUUGACUAUGGGGCAGUACAAAUCACUGGUAUGUUCUAUAAUUGUGGGGUUUUUUCCCUUUUUUCUUUAGCCGUUCCCCUCUCCUCUCUCUGCAUAUUUGUGUACCGUGACUAUGUUCUGUGUUUGGAAAGAAAAGAAAAGGAAAAAGAGACCCCUACAGUAGAAAAGGUUGUAACUCUGAUACAUGCAUAUUAUUAGAUUGGCCAUCACUCUUUUAUAAGGGGUUCAACUUGCAAAAAUUGUCUGCUCCAUAAUUUGGAACUAUACAUUUAGAUUUAUUCUUCCUAAAAAGGCUGAAAAGGAAGGAGAAAAAAAACUCAUACGUUCUAUUUGUUUGUCACGUAUUAAAGCUUUCAGGUUCCAUUUCCAAAUUUUACUAAUUUAGGGUCCCUCAAUAUGCCGAACACGUCAGCUUUGCAGCUUUUGUCCUUCUUAGGCUUGUCUUGCAUGAGCCUUGUCUGUUUGCCAACACGUUAGGUUAGCAAAAUAUAUAGCACGCUCUUAUUAUUAUUAUUAUUAUUAUUAUUAUUAUUGUUAUUGUUAUUGUUAUUGUUAUUGUUAUUGCUCUAAGUAUAUAAUACAAAACGUUAUGUUCUUCUUUCUA